AUUGUUGACAUUGCAAUUCUUUCAUUGACUAGUCUCUUUGAGCAGUUGAAGAAAUUUGAAGAGGUGUUUGGGUUUCUAUUCAAUUCAAAAAAUCUGAAGUCCUUGGAUAUGAUAGCAAUCUAUGGGAAUGUUGCACUACUUUGGCCAAAAUCUUUUCCUGAUGAUAACUCAUCUGAUGUUGAUCUUGGUGAUUUUGUCUCUGAGUUGAAAGUGUUGCAGGUAACUUUGCCUGAUGGUUUGGUGUCAGUGCUUGAGAUUCUUCAAUUUGUUAUAUGGAUGGAUUGCUAUGCAAAUGUCUCUCUCGCCUAUCGGAUCCUAUCAACAGUACAUGCGUAUAUAGCCUCAACUGAAAGAAGUUUCUCUAAAGUGAAACUAUUGGAAAAUUAUUUGAGGUCAACUAUGUUGCAAGACAGAUUGAAUGACUUGGCUAUGUGCUGCAUUGAGAAGGAUAUUUUGGACAAUGUUGAUCUUGAUUGUGCCCCUAAUGACUUUGCAACAAGAAACACCCAAAGAAACUUUUUCUCAAGCACCGAAGUAUUAUUGUUGUCGAUGGAGUGA
rnacentral:rRNA from 1 species